rnacentral:rRNA from 1 species
UAAGGGAUAUUGCACAAUGGGCGAAAGCCUGAUGCAGCAACGCCGCGUGAGUGAUGAAGGCCUUCGGGUUGUAAAACUCUUUUCUGAGGGACGAGCAAGGACGGUACCUCAGGAAUAAGUCCCGGCUAACUACGUGCCAGCAGCCGCGGUAAAACGUAGGGGGCGAGCGUUAUCCGGAUUUACUGGGCGUAAAGCGCGCGCAGGCGGUUUGGUAGGUUGGACGUUAAAGCUCUUGGCUUAACUAAGAGAGGUCGUUCAAAACCACCAGACUUGAGGUCGGUAGAGGGGAGUGGAAUUCCCGGUGUAGUGGUGGAAUGCGCAGAUAUCGGGAGGAACACCUGUGGCGAAAGCGGCUCCCUGGACCGCACCUGACGCUCAUGCGCGAAAGCGUGGGGAGCGAACGGG